GGCGGGCCCCCUCGCACUGAGGCGCCGUGAACCUGGUCAGGUCGGGAACGAAGCAGCCACAGCGGAGUGCCACAGGUGCCGAGGUCAAGGCUCGCCUUU
rnacentral:SRP_RNA from 1 species